rnacentral:rRNA from 1 species
GUACACUCCUACGGGAGGCAGCAGUGGGGAAUUUUGGACAAUGGGCGAAAGCCUGAUCCAGCAAUGCCGCGUGAGUGAAGAAGGCCUUCGGGUUGUAAAGCUCUUUUGUCAGGGAAGAAACGGUGAGAGCUAAUAUCUCUUGCUAAUGACGGUACCUGAAGAAUAAGCACCGGCUAACUACGUGCCAGCAGCCGCGGUAAUACGUAGGGUGCAAGCGUUAAUCGGAAUUACUGGGCGUAAAGCGUGCGCAGGCGGUUUUGUAAGUCUGAUGUGAAAUCCCCGGGCUCAACCUGGGAAUUGCAUUGGAGACUGCAAGGCUAGAAUCUGGCAGAGGGGGGUAGAAUUCCACGUGUAGCAGUGAAAUGCGUAGAUAUGUGGAGGAACACCGAUGGCGAAGGCAGCCCCCUGGGUCAAGAUUGACGCUCAUGCACGAAAGCGUGGGGAGCAAACAGGAUUAGAAACCCCUGUAGUCCCA